GAACGCUGGCGGCAUGCCUUACACAUGCAAGUCGAACGGUAGAGUAGCAAUACUCGAGAGUGGCGAACGGGUGAGUAAUAUAUCGGAACGUGCCCAGUCGUGGGGGAUAACGUAGAGAAAUUUACGCUAAUACCGCAUACGAUCUAAGGAUGAAAGCGGGGGACUCGCAAGGGCCUCGCGCGAUUGGAGCGGCUGAUAUCAGAUUAGGUUGUUGGUGAGGUAAAAGCUCACCAAGCCGACGAUCUGUAGCUGGUUUGAGAGAACGACCAGCCACACUGGGACUGAGACACGGCCCAGACUCCUACGGGAGGCAGCAGUGGGGAAUUUUGGACAAUGGGCGAAAGCCUGAUCCAGCAAUGCCGCGUGCAGGAAGAAGGCCUUCGGGUUGUAAACUGCUUUUGUACGGAACGAAACGGUCCUUUCUAAUAAAGAGGGCUAAUGACGGUACCGUAAGAAUAAGCACCGGCUAACUACGU
rnacentral:rRNA from 1 species